AAGCAGGAGCAGUGAAGAAUUUUCCUACACAUUUGAGGAGGGAGGAUGGCCAGUGACAAAUGUUGAAAAAGACCGAAAGGUCAACUGCUUGUAUUAUUCAAGUGGCAGGAGUGACACAGUGGCAAUACUGCUGGGCCUCUCAGAUUUGCUCAAAUUCAGCCUCAGAUACCUUGUCUUAGACAGGAAACUGGACACUCUUAGGCAAAAGCAGCUGCUUGUCCUACCAAGAACCAUGCAGAGAAGCCACCAAAGCUAGCAGGAGAGUCAUCAUUGUAAUAAUUAAAGAGACUGAAGAGGAUUGAAGAGGUCUAUGGAUGCCUGCCAGAUGAUACCAGUCAGAUGCAGGAUGUCAAGGCUCGAUCCUUCUAUGAGACCAUAAAGCUAAAGGUAUAGACAGAGAGCCUGAGUGAAUGGAGACAAAAAGUGAUGGAGACAAGAAUCUUGAGCUGAUGAAAUUGCUCACAUGAAACCAGGAAGAGCCUGUUCAGUGACAUAAAUGACUGAAUACUGCCUUGGUCAGAGAAGUUGAUUGAUUUCCUUUGACCCUGACCAACUCUUGGGCUGACUUCUCUGAUUUGGGGCCACUGGUGCUCAGUCAUUCUUUCAGUUGUGUCUGACUAUUUCCCCUUCUGAUAUUUUCUUGGCAAAGAUACAAGAGUGGAUUGCCAUUUUCUCCUCUAGCUCAUUUUAAAGAUGAGAAAACAGACAAACACUGUUAAGUGACUUGCUCAGAGUUACACAGGUAGGAAGUAUCUGAGGUCAGACUGGAACUCAGGAAGAAGAGUCUUCCUGACUCCAGGCCUGCAAAUCUAUCCACUGAGUCAUCUAGCUAGCCAUACUUGGACCACUGCUAAAAUUCUGUUGCAGUGUCCUGUCUCCUGCCUAACCCUUUGGUAGCCCAUAAGCUCUGGAAGAGAGGGGUAAGAGGGAAGGAGUUGGCUGGGUAUUUUAUUAUGACAAAUAAGCAAAGAAACAUUUAAACUUUAAAAAAGAAGAAAGAACUCUAUUCUUUGCUCAGGCAAUAGCCUUUGAAUUGUUUGUAAUUUACACAUAGGGAAACAAUUUUUUAAACAAGAGACAUCUAACUAAGACUGACUCCUUUAUUUGACUAUGAAGUCGGAGGAUCUGGGUUCCAUUUCCAAACUCUUUGACCUCUCUGGUCUUUAGUUUUCCUCACCUAUAAAAUAAAGGGGUUGAAAUAAAUGACCUAUAAGGUUCU
rnacentral:lncRNA from 1 species